rnacentral:lncRNA from 10 species
AGUAAAGAUUAAAUGUGCUUCUCAAAGGCAGCCACUUCAUGCUGCUAUGUCGAAAGGGCCAUUAUUAUUAUUAUAUUUUAAUGGUAAAAGAGAAAAGGAGAGAGGUUGAGCGAGCGAGAGAGAAGCUAGGUGUGAUGAUGACAGACUAGCUUUUCUGAGAGGAAAAGGAAAAGGGAAGGGAGAGAAAAAGGAGAGCCUCUGAGCUCAACGGAGGAUUGUGCCUGAGAAGAACCCACAGAGGAGGCUGUGCGGGCCCCGCUCCGCUUCGAAUGGUUGUGUUGAUGUUCCUUUCAGCUGGUCCUAUAGUACCCCUCCUCAGGAAUGUCUCCCCAGUGCAAGGACAAAGACUGAAGAGACUGCUAUAUUGAUGGACUCUCAAGCCAACUAUGAAGUUGAAACAAAGAAAGUGAUCACCUGAAGACACCUCCUCUGCUAAGAAACACCCCCAAAUUGUGCAGCUUCUGCCACUAGAACUCUCAGAACAAGAGACAAUCUUUUCAAGAAACAGAAAAACUCAAUAAUGACAUCUAGAUUUUCAUGAGCCAAGAACUUUCCCUUCCUCAUGUGUAUUCCUCUGUUUGUACUUAAAUUCAUGUGACAUUCAUUUUUUUCCUAGUAUGGAUAUGCUUAUUAAUGCACUUGUUUCAAAAUCCCAAAUUGCACAAAUGUGUUAAUAUUUUAAGAAACAAAAUGAAUCCUACAAGGAGAAUGAUUUUUAGCCACACAUAGGGUUGGAUCUUGAGAGUGACCUACAGAAUAAAAGUACUUUUAAAAUAAAGUAGUCAGAGGCUAUUCAAAGGGUAAAAUAAUCAUAGUACCACAUUGGUCCACUUGACACUAACCAAUCGAUCAUUUUUUUUUAAUCAAGAAAGCUAGAUUCUAUCAGAUAAAAUCACUGCUUCUAAAGAGUUUAAAUCUAGUUAGAAAAAGUUAUAGAAAUGUUUGCAAAGAUAAGUAAC